rnacentral:rRNA from 1 species
GUAGGUGGCAAGCGUUGUCCGGAAUUAUUGGGCGUAAAGCGCGCGCAGGCGGUUCUUUAAGUCUGAUGUGAAAGCCCACGGCUCAACCGUGGAGGGUCAUUGGAAACUGGAGAACUUGAGUACAGAAGAGGAAAGCGGAAUUCCACGUGUAGCGGUGAAAUGCGUAGAGAUGUGGAGGAACACCAGUGGCGAAGGCGGCUUUCUGGUCUGUAACUGACGCUGAGGCGCGAAAGCGUGGGGAGCAAACAGGAUUAGAUACCCUGGUAGUCCACGCCGUAAACGAUGAGUGCUAAGUGUUAGGGGGGUUUCCGCCCCCCUUAGUGCUGCAGCUAACGCAUUAGGCACUCCGCCUGGGAGUACGGCCGCAAGGCUG